UACAUGAGCACCAGGUGUUAGGUUUAUUUGUUGGGUGUAAAAAAUACACAAGGACUUUAGGCGUAUUUUACUUACUAAUAAAUGUAUCUUAUCGCUAUAGAUUAAUGCCGUGGAAGUACCCUUUCGGUUUGAGGCAACGAUUGAAUGUUUUGAUCUUAAAAAGGAAUCCACUAAUGAAGGUAGGCAGCUACACGGCAUUGAACCUGAAGUAUGAAAGCAUGGGCGGCGAUAGGGGUCGAUCCCAGUAGACCAUGCUGUAAACAAUGGUUAGUUAGCGCUUACGUGAAACAUACCUACCCGGGUAGUACAGUCGCAAGUUUGAAACUUAAUGAGAUUGGCGGGGUUUUAAUCCAGCAGUGGAGCAUGUGGUUUAAUGCGAUAAUCCCCGCAAAAUCUUACCAAAAUAAAAAGCUUAACUUUAUAGAACUAGAAAACUAUAGCUUAAGCAUUACGGUAUUGCAUGGCCGACAUCAGUUCGUGUUUUACGGCUUGGAAUUUAGCUAUCAUAACGAACGAAACCCCCUUGCUCGGUUUGAGGUAAAACCAAACACCCAUCUCGAGUACGUUAACAUACGGCACUUUGCCACCGCUUAGGCGGAUAAAAGAUGUUGGACGUAUAAACAAUUUUCUUACUAAAACCUAAUGUUUGUUCUUCGCCACGGGCCGUCGACAUAAUUCAUUUGGAUUGCAGAACGGGAAAAUUGAAUAGUUGGGGCAGAAGUCAGGUCUUUAUGGUCUAUAUAUUUUGGGCUACACAUUUGCUAUAAUGGAGGAGACAGCUAGUUGCUACGGGCAUAUACGGCGCUAAACUAGAAAAACCUUCUUAGUUCGGAAUAUUUUUUGAAACUUAGAAGUAUUAAGGAAGAAUUGCUAGUAAUCGUAUAGUAAUAUGAUACGGUGAACUGAUUACUCAACCUGCACACACUGCCCAUCACGCCCGGAAAGUUGACAUAGAUUAAUGCACGGUGCUUAAUACGGACAAGUCCUAACCACGUUAGGUUUGUUUUGUAACCCCCGGAAGUGAGACCUAUGUUGGUAAUUGGGGUGAAG
rnacentral:rRNA from 1 species